rnacentral:rRNA from 1 species
AACGAACGCUGGCGGCAGGCUUAACACAUGCAAGUCGAGCGCCCCGCAAGGGGAGCGGCAGACGGGUGAGUAACGCGUGGGAAACUACCCUUUGGUACGGAAUAACACAGAGAAAUUUGUGCUAAUACCGUAUGUGCCCUUCGGGGGAAAGAUUUAUCGCCAUAGGAUGUGCCCGCGUAGGAUUAGCUAGUUGGUGUGGUAAUGGCGCACCAAGGCGACGAUCCUUAGCUGGUCUGAGAGGAUGACCAGCCACACUGGGACUGAGACACGGCCCAGACUCCUACGGGAGGCAGCAGUGGGGAAUAUUGGACAAUGGGCGCAAGCCUGAUCCAGCCAUGCCGCGUGAGUGAUGAAGGCCUUAGGGUUGUAAAGCUCUUUCACCCACGACGAUAAUGACGGUAGUGGGAGAAGAAGCCCCGGCUAACUUCGUGCCAGCCGCCGCAGUAACAC